CACUUCCUCGAUCUCCCCAAUAGUUUUGAAGAACUCAAAUUAGACAAUCGUUAUUUGCAUUAACAUAAGAAGUUAUGAGUUCCGACGCUAAUUCUCCACGAAUUCCAGCUGGCAUCACAAGGGAGGAUACUGGUAUCCACAAAUGCAUUUUCUUUCUCCUUGCCAUGGUAGAAUUGCUCCUACAAGUUAAAUGUUCAACCUCGCAGGCAUCUCUAUUUGAUAUAGACUACGUCGUUGUUUUAAUGUUAAUUGCCAAUUUAUUCGAUUAUCCGGCCAUUGUCAAGAUACUGCAAGCAUCCCACAAUUCAGACCUCUAUGGAUUGAUGAACAUAAUCAGCCUUUUGUGUGGAACUUUUUCCUCAAUUCUAUUAACAUUCAUCCUUGUUCCAGAUUUUGGAUAGUUUGCUCUCGCAUGAUGGGCAUAUGCUUUGUGACAACUAUGGUUAAGUCCUAUCCAACCUUGAAAAGACUUUGUACAUGUACAACAAAUGCAACUGACAUGCUCUGUUAUGUCAUUCGCAAACUCAAUGAGCUAAACAUGAGAUGCAAACAUUAACAUUGAUCCUCUAACAGAAAUGUAAUUUCAAAAUAUUUACCAAAAUAAUUUUUACCAA